rnacentral:misc_RNA from 1 species
UUUCCGUAGGUGAACCUGCGGAAGGAUCAUUAUCGAAAUACUCAUUUAGCGUUCCGUGCUAUCCCAUUGUUUUAUUUACCCUGUUGCUUCCACUGGAUGAGUUUCCAUACCUUGUGUUUGAGAAACUUUGGCUUGUGUAAGAUUCAUUCACGGCCAGCCAGUGAGAAGACCAUUUACAAAACCCUGUUAAGAACCAAUUGUCUGAAUAUUUUACUCCAAUGAAAUAAAACUUUCAACAACGGAUCUCUAGGCUCUUACAUCGAUGAAGAACGCAGC